ACGAACGCUGGCGGCGUGCCUAACACAUGCAAGUCGAACGGAGCUUGAGGGGCUUGCCCUUCAAGCUUAGUGGCGGACGGGUGAGUAACGCGUGAGUAACCUGCCUCUCAGAGGGGGAUAACGUUCUGAAAAGGACGCUAAUACCGCAUGACAUCCCGGGGCCGCAUGGCCCUGGGAUCAAAGGAGCAAUCCGCUGAGAGAUGGACUCGCGUCCGAUUAGCUAGUUGGUGAGAUAAAGGCCCACCAAGGCGACGAUCGGUAGCCGGACUGAGAGGUUGAACGGCCACAUUGGGACUGAGACACGGCCCAGACUCCUACGGGAGGCAGCAGUGGGGGAUAUUGCACAAUGGAGGGAACUCUGAUGCAGCAACGCCGCGUGAGGGAAGAAGGUCUUCGGAUUGUAAACCUUUGUCCUCAGGGAAGAUAAUGACGGUACCUGAGGAGGAAGCUCCGGCUAACUACGUGCCAGCAGCCGCGGUAAUACGUAGGGAGCAAGCGUUGUCCGGAUUUACUGGGUGUAAAGGGUGCGUAGGCGGAACUGCAAGUCAGUGGUGAAAUCUGAGGGCUCAACCCUCAAACUGCCAUUGAAACUGUGGUUCUUGAGUGAAGUAGAGGUAGGCGGAAUUCCCGGUGUAGCGGUGGAAUGCGUAGAGAUCGGGAGGAACACCAGUGGCGAAGGCGGCCUACUGGGCUUUAACUGACGCUGAGGCACGAAAGCAUGGGUAGCAAACAGGAUUAGAUACCCUGGUAGUCCAUGCCGUAAACGAUGAUUACUAGGUGUGGGGGGUCUGACCCCCUCCGUGCCGGAGUUAACACAAUAAGUAAUCCACCUGGGGAGUACGGCCGCAAGGUUGAAACUCAAAGGAAUUGACGGGGGCCCGCACAAGCAGUGGAGUAUGUGGUUUAAUUCGACGCAACGCGAAGAACCUUACCAGGUCUUGACAUCCAACUAACGAGGUAGAGAUACGUCAGGUGCCCUUCGGGGAAAGUUGAGACAGGUGGUGCAUGGUUGUCGUCAGCUCGUGUCGUGAGAUGUUGGGUUAAGUCCCGCAACGAGCGCAACCCUUGUGAUUAGUUGCUACGCAAGAGCACUCUAAUCAGACUGCCGUUGACAAAACGGAGGAAGGUGGGGAUGACGUCAAAUCAUCAUGCCCCUUAUGACCUGGGCUACACACGUACUACAAUGGCCGUCAACAGAGAGAGGCGACACCUCGAGGUGAAGCCGAACCCCUAAAACGGUCUCAGUUCCGAUUGUAGGCUGCAACCCGCCUACAUGAAGUUGGAAAUGCUAGUAAUCGCGGAUCAACAUGGCCGCGGUGGAUACGUUCCCCGGGCCUUGUAAACACCGCCCGUUACACCAUGGGAGGCGGGUAUACCCCAAGUCGGGGGUCUUACCCGCAAGGGGGGCCCUCCCCAAGGUAGGAUUUGCCGACUGGGGGGAAGUCCGAACAAAGUUAUCGUUAGGCCCAAAUCCUUUUCAACCUGCGGGGGUUAGUCCUUUUUGGGGGGGUUAAUUCUGAGUUGGGGGAAAUCUGGGCAUAAGUGUUUCUCGGGAAAACGUUAACCCACCAAANUNCCCCAAAACAAAAAGGGGGGGGGCUUUAUUUUUCCCCGCGCGGAAGUAAACCUCCCGAGGGGAAAAAUCCCCGGUUUAAAAAAUUCUCCCCUUAAGCACCCUGUUAGGAAAUCCCCCCGCGGCGCCCUCCCCUUGGGAGGCCCCCCUUUGGGUAAAAAAAANUCUUCGUGUAAACGGCCCCGGGGGGGAGGGGGGGGGUAAAACCCCCCAAAAUAUCCCCNGGGAGGGCCCCCCUACAGGUUAAUUUAUAUUAAAAGGAGNGGG
rnacentral:rRNA from 1 species